rnacentral:tRNA from 1 species
UUUGUUUGAUGGCUGAGACAUAAGCAAUAGACUGUAGAUCUAUCAACGGAAUUAAGUUUCCUCAACAAAA